rnacentral:lncRNA from 1 species
GCAAGUACGGCCAAAAAUGGACGACAAUUAGGCAUUGCUUCGUUGUUGUGCUUCGUUUUUCUAUGACAGAAAAAAGGCAUUGCUUCGUUGGAUGACACCCAAUCUAGCGACUCUUACCACUUCCGCGAGCUCUCAUCUCUCUAACUUGCUGCGGUCAACGGAUCCAAAAAUGCAAAAAAAAAAGAGAACCACAUGGUCCAUUUGUUUCUUAAUCAAACUUUACCAAUUUUGUCCAUGUCCGUAAAAAAAGGCCAAC